rnacentral:tRNA from 1 species
GGAUUUAGCUUAAUUAAAGUAUUUGAUUUGCGUUCAAUUGAUGUAGGGGUAGUCCUGCAAUCCUUA